UACGUAGGGUGCGAGCGUUGUCCGGAAUUAUUGGGCGUAAAGAGCUCGUAGGCGGUCUGUCGCGUCGGUCGUGAAAACUUGGGGCUUAACCCUGAGCUUGCGGUCGAUACGGGCAUGACUGGAGUUUGGUAGGGGAGACUGGAAUUCCUGGUGUAGCGGUGAAAUGCGCAGAUAUCAGGAGGAACACCGGUGGCGAAGGCGGGUCUCUGGGCCGAUACUGACGCUGAGGAGCGAAAGCGUGGGGAGCGAACAGG
rnacentral:rRNA from 1 species